rnacentral:rRNA from 1 species
GACGGAGGGGGCUAGCGUUGUUCGGAAUUACUGGGCGUAAAGAGCGCGUAGGCGGAUUAGUAAGUUGGGAGUGAAAGCCCAGGGCUUAACCCUGGAAUAGCUUUCAAAACUACUAGUCUUGAGUGUAGUAGGGGAUGAUGGAAUUCCUAGUGUAGAGGUGAAAUUCUUAGAUAUUAGGAGGAACACCGGUGGCGAAGGCGGUCAUCUGGGCUACAACUGACGCUGAGGCGCGAAAGCGUGGGGAGCAAACAGG